rnacentral:rRNA from 1 species
CGGUCCACGCCGUAAAACCCCCCACUAUUCCAAGGUUGACCUCAGAUCAGGUAGGAAUACCCGCUGAACUUAAGCAUAUCAAUAAGCGGA